CCGGACACGUUCCGGGUCUGUAAUGCAGCCGAAGCCGGUUCCAAGCCCGGAAGAUGCAGAGGACAGA
rnacentral:ribozyme from 1 species